AUGGUGAUGGGAUACUCUCCCGCUGAGUCAGUGGCCAUCACCAAUAGACUUAAUUGCCGCCUGGGCUCGUUCCCCACUACCUACCUUGGGACACCCAUCAGUGACUCGCGCCUCUUGGCCGCCGAUCUUCGCCCCUCCGUGACCAAGCUCCAGACUAGAUGCGAGCCCUGGCAGGGGAGGUGGCUCUCCAAGGCGGCCCGGACUAUUCUUAUCAACUCCUCCCUCUCCAGCCUCCUCUUAUUUCUUAUGAGUUUCUAUAGCCUCCACGAAUCUCUCCAUAAGGAGAUCGCCAAAAUCCAGUCCCGCUUCUAUUGGGCUGGCGAGCACAGCAAGCAGAAGUAUCACAUGGUCAGCUGGCCUGACAUCUGCAAGCCUCGGGAGCAGGGUGGAUUGGGGAUCAUGUGCUCUAAGCGGAUGAAUAUUGCCCUCCUAUCCCAGUGGUUGUGGCGCAUCUCGCAGGGUCAGGGUGGCCUAUGGCUGGACAUUAUCCGGAAUAAAUACCUGCGCGGCCAACCCCUUGCCUUCUGCCAGAAGUCGGGAGGUUCUCAGUUCUGGCAGUCCCUCGUCCAGCUCCUCCCUGUGCUCCGCAUUGGUACCUCUAUCUCGGUAGGGUCCGGCCUCUCGACGCUCUUCUGGUUUGACGGAUGGGCCGGCGACUCCCCCUUUGCGGCUUGCUUCCCCAUCCUCUUCUCUAUCUCUGUCGACCCCAUGAUUUCUGUUGAUAGGGCCCUUAUUGACUUAGGGCGCCUCGCUUUCCGUCGGCCAUUUGGGCCUGCGGAAUCCGCCGCCUGGCGUGAGCUGCUUGAUUGCGUCGCUCUGCAUGAGCCGCUGGUGGAUGGAGCCCAAGACCGUGUGCGUUGGCACUUGGAGUCGUCGGGCCAGUUCUCUACCAAAUCGCUCUACAUGGCCAUUGCCCCCUCCUCCGCUCCCCCCCUCUUGAUGGUAUGGUCCGUCCGUCUCCCACUGAAGAUCCGCAUCUUCAUGUGGUAG
rnacentral:rRNA from 1 species